GUGGCGGACGGGUGAGUAACACGUGGGAACGUGCCCUUUGGUACGGAAUAACUCAGGGAAACUUGAGCUAAUACCGUAUGUGCCCUUCGGGGGAAAGAUUUAUCGCCAUUGGAGCGGCCCGCGUCUGAUUAGCUAGUUGGUGAGGUAACGGCUUACCAAGGCGACGAUCAGUAGCUGGUCUGAGAGGAUGACCAGCCACAUUGGGACUGAGACACGGCCCAAACUCCUACGGGAGGCAGCAGUGGGGAAUCUUGCGCAAUGGGCGAAAGCCUGACGCAGCCAUGCCGCGUGGAUGAUGAAGGUCUUAGGAUUGUAAAAUCCUUUCACCGGUGAAGAUAAUGACUGUAGCCGGAGAAGAAGCCCCGGCUAACUUCGUGCCAGCAGCCGCGGUAAUACGAAGGGGGCUAGCGUUGCUCGGAAUUACUGGGCGUAAAGGGCGCGUAGGCGGACAUUUAAGUCAGGGGUGAAAUCCCAGAGCUCAACUCUGGAACUGCCUUUGAUACUGGAUGUCUUGAGUGUGAGAGAGGUAUGUGGAACUCCGAGUGUAGAGGUGAAAUUCGUAGAUAUUCGGAAGAACACCAGUGGCGAAGGCGACAUACUGGCUCAUUACUGACGCUGAGGCGCGAAAGCGUGGGGAGCAAACAGGAUUAGAUACCCUGGUAGUCCAC
rnacentral:rRNA from 1 species